CCAACAGAGCCAAGAUGCCUAUCUCUAAUAAGACCAUUCCUCCCAAAUAUGAGUAAAUCCUACACCAAAGACUUCUCUCCAAUAAUAUCCCAAACCCUGACGUAAGGCUUACUGGCCUGUAAUUUGUUGGAUUAUCGUUGUUUCAAGGUAGAAGUGUGGAUAUUUAAUCUAAAGGUCAUCUGGCCCUCUAAACUGAUCCCAUUUUCUUUUAAACAGGACACCUAAAUUAAAUGUUAGCAGGUACUUUGUUCCUACCAGAUGCUAAACCACUGCAUUACUUUCAAUUGGUAGAGAGAAUUUAAUGAAAAUUAAUCUAGCCAGCAUGCCAAAUAAAUAGUAUAGAUCAAAUGAACAAUUGGUGAUGCUUCCAUUUUUCUGAACACUUCAAAUCUCAACUGAAAUUUUGAAGCGAAAUUGAAAAGGGAAUAAAAAUGAAUGUUGUUGACAUUUAUUUUUAAUGUGAUAUGUGAGGCUUUGUGAGCUAGUAGAAGCUAUCUGACCAAUGAACUCUUUCACUUGAGACAAGAGGUCCCAGACAGAUUGCUGUAGGCAAGAAAAAUACUUCUUUUGCAUCUUGACUACAGUUUCUUUUAAAGAAACUAAUCAGGUUGUGUGAGUGACACAGUGAGAAUGAAGAAGAUAGAAUCAAAUGUUUAGUUGAUUGUUGCUUCAGUUACAAAAACCAAUAAGUUAAAUAAGUUCUAGGGUACGAACCUGGGCAUUGUUUUUCUUAGUCAUGCAUAUCCCUUUAUAUUUGGUAUUUUCUGGUUUGUUCACAUUUCAUUUUUCUAACGCAUGAAUACAUUUUUCAUCAGGAAUUGCUUUAAAUACAAAAUAUAUAAGUUUUGAUAAAAUAACAACAGAAAAUGUUGGGAAAACUCAACAGGUCUGGUAGCAUAUGUGGAGAGAAACCAGAGUUAAUGUUUUGUGUCCAGUGACCCUUCCUCUGAACAGAACAGUUCAGCUGCAGUUUCACUUAUGUUUUAUACAUUACUAGCAUUGCUUCCCUGCUACUGAUUUAUUUGGCCAUGACUAAGCAUGGCUUUUACUAUCGUGAUAAAAUAAAGGUCAAGAUAUAUUGGGAGAAUAGGUCUGUACAUUCUAAAUAACCUUGAUAUUACUACAUCAAUAUUGCAAAACACAAUGAUAACUAGCAAGCUGAAAACUUAGGUUCUAGGGGCUGGACUGGAAUCAAUCUGGGGUCAGGAACCCAAUGGCCAACUCGUAUGCAGGUUCUUAUUCUUCAUUAUGUUAACGUCAGCAACACAAAUAAUUUAGUAAUGCAUAUUUUUUGAGAGGCAAGUACAGAACCCAAUUAGUAGUGCCAGGUCUGGCCUGGAGAUGGAACCUAGUACCGAAGGCCCUUUGAAAAGUCGGUAAAGUUCAGCCCAAGAAUACAUUCAUGAACAAUGGUGGAACAAAAAGAACAGAGAAGUUCUCCUGACCAACAUUUCUCCAUCAAUUACCACCACCAAAGCAUUUUAAUUGCUUUAAUUGCAGUUUAUGGGAUCACCUUGUCGACAGUAUAUUACAACAUCCUAUGACACUGUGUGCAUAUUGUUUUUUAAAGGACACAAAUCUAAUCGGGAGAGCAGAAAGUUGAUUGUUUAUAUAAGGUAAUUACUGAAGGAUAUCUUCUUAUACCAAGAAGCAUCUCAUAGUAGAAACAUUUGUGAUUCUAUUUUAUUAAGCACCAGCUAUUUCCAAUUUAUGUAUCUGAUAAUACUGUAAAUACUGUUUUAUAAUAAUUAGCACCCAAUCUCUUGUUCUUUCUAUGAGUGUUUUUUUCCCCUCACCUCAAUGUGUUGCCUUGAAAAGUCUGGAUCAAAACUUAUAAUCAUUCUAUUGUUAAUAAUAAAGAGGCAAAAGACAUCAAAAUUGAAAAAGGAUGUAGGUAUAAUAAUUUCAAAGUUAAACAGAAAUUAAACAAGAAUAAUGUCAUUAUUUUCAUGUAAUGACAUGAAAAUGUUUAAUGACUCAAUUUCUUGCAGGAGCAUUAACACCUUUCUCUCCUUGACAGAGCUUGCACUGAUCAUCUAAUUAAUCCAUCUGAGAUAUCCCACAAUUCUUGUCCAGCUGUAAAUCCAAUUUCUGUAUUAUGUUCUUCCCCAAGCAACUCCAUUGUUUUACUCAGAACAAACUAGGUAAUUCUGAGCAAUACAAGAAAUGUUAGUGUAGCCCAGAUAGUGAACAGUGAGGGCUUCAAAAACAAAAUUAAAAUAGGAUGUGAUGUAAAUCACUCUUAUUGAUAGUGAUAAUAUACACUGAAGCAAGAAAUAUGCAAUGAAAAUAUGAAUUAAUCACAGAGACUUUAAAACUUCUAUGUUUUGUAAAUAAUGUUUAGUUUAUGAUGUGUUCUCUAUACUUUACAACACAGUAAUCAUUUGCUAGGGUUGUUUGUAAAAUGGUCAAUUAUGUAUAUUCAUUCUUUUAAAAUUUACAUACUAAAUACUUGAAGCCAACUUACUAAGAAUUAAAGUGAGUGGUCAAAUUAAA